CUCACGGCUACGCAAAUCGAUAUUUCAUCCGCCCUCCCUUUCUCUGCAGCUAAGGCAGCUGACUUCAUUUUUUCCAAGGAAUUCCCCUAAUUUAACAGUACUCUGAGCGCUCUUCUGUGGAAGCUAUCCCCACUCUCCCUGUUCCCAGCCUCGUGUCAGAGCUACUAGUGAUUAUAAUUGCAGCUGAAACAAGAAGGAAAUGAGUUGGUUCCGUGCUCACUUCAGAGACAGAGGUGCUCGCAGCAGACCUUCUUCAGAGACAGAAACAAUGAAAAGGCAGAGCUCUGCUCAGGAGUAUGAGAUUGUUGAAUUACAGCAAGAUAAUGCGAAGGAAAGUGAGACUGACCAUGACAAGCCUCUAAAUGCUCAAGCAAGAAAGGAGAGAGAUGCCUGGAAAUCAUGCAGGAAUGUAGUUUUCUGGAAGUGUAAACUAUGGAUGGUUAUAACUACAAUAUUUCUAGUGAUCUCCCUGGUCAUUCUCAUCAGCCUAAUUCUUUAUUCUAGUGUUUACACAGAUGAGGAUGACUACUGGGAUCCUGAUGAACUAUUAAGCAGUGGAAAUUUUCACAAUUUUUCAGGAACAUUGGAGUUAAUGUGUGGCCUCCCACACUUCUCCUCUGAGGACAUUACUAAGAGGCUAACAGAGGUCUACAGUUCAUCUCCAGCUUUAGGACGUUACUUUAGGUCAGCUCAGGUGAUUUCUUUCAGUAAUGAAAGCUUCACUGUAAUUUAUCAGCUAGUGUUUUCUGUACCACCAUCGACAGAGGAAUUUAUGGAGAACAGUAUGAACCCAGAUUUUAUCAGGAACAUUUUACGUCAAAAUAUUUAUGAUGAAGACUCUCUUAAUCCUGGGACAUCUGAAUGUGAUAGGAUAAAGCUCGACCCAACUUCUCUCACAUAGAAAUAAUGGAAAGAUUCCUCAUCUUUACCACCUCCUAGAAGAGAUGGGAUUCCCUAUCCCAGGGCAGGGAACUAUUCACUAGCAGCUCUAGCCUUUCAGCUGUGUGAGUUGGAAAAUAGCCAUUGGAAUUCUAAAUGCUGAGGUGUACGAAGCGUGCCUGACAGAGCAGGACACUCAAACCCACGGCUGUUGCAUGGGUUUAAACUGAGCUUGGGAAACACUCUGGACCAAACUGGUCUUUUGCGCUACUAUCAUAUUUGCGGCUUAUUCUGAUUCCCUCUUGGUUUGUAAGAUACAGCAUUGACUGUAAGAACUAUGAUUUCUCUUCCUAUAAUACUCUAUGCAGCAUACAGCUGAAGGGAGAUUCUUUUUGAUUCUUAUGCUGGGAAGGAUAAACUUCAUGGCUUAUAUGGCUUGUCCCAAAAGCAGCAGGCUAUGUGAAAGUACCAGAAGCAAAGAAAUAAAUUGUUGUUGAGAAGCUGCUCAACUUUACUGCUCUCACCAAGACACCUGAUCCUUUCCUUGAACACUUCUUUAUCUCGAUUCUAGGAACUGAAAAAUAAUGUAAUGAUUAGACUUCCUUAUGGUGAUACCCAUAUGGGCAUUAGGAGUUGAGAAAGGAGUCAAGCAUUCAUUUUUUUCCCAGCCAUCCUCCUCUAUGUCCAUACCAUUACCCCAGAACCUCACAGGAAAAAGCAAGGUGGAGCUGUAGUAAAUAUUCAACAGAAAAUGUCUGACUUUACAGACUGCAUCCAGACAGGUUUUGAACUCUUGUUGAAGGAAAUGUCGAAAAAAAAAUGGUUUCUGGUUAUAGAUCUGUGAGGUAAAUUGAUAAUAUAAAAGAAAAUUUAAAAGUGAAUUAAUUAUGACUCAAUCCAUUAGAGACACAGCAGUGUGAAAAGACACUAUUACGUCGUUAGAUAUUUUGUGUGAAUGAUCAAUAUUAAUUUUAAUAGAAGAAAUGAGGAAAAUAAUGACUGAGACAACUGAGACACUGUUAAAAGGCAGCUUGUGGAGUGUACAAUCAGCCCUUUAAAAGCCUAUGGCAGGUGUCAUCUGUGCAGCCACAGCAGGCAGUAGGGGUUUUGGGCGGACUCAGCUGCCUGCCAUAGCAGUGGUACCCGCACGUGCUGGCAGUGCGUCCAUCCACUGCUCGGCGCACUUGCCCACGGGACUGUCCCCAGCAUGGUGGGAGUCAUCAAGGCACUGCACCAUAAAGCCAGGCCUGCAGCCAGCAAUCACAUACUAGAGAAGACUUAAAAUCAGAAAAACUGCUCAACAUUUUCUUCCAUACUGUUUUGCUGCAAAAACGGAGGGAGAGUAAAAACACGCUUAAGCAAGAACACAGGCUGUUUACAAGAGCACUUUAUAAGCCCUUGUAAACAGAUGAAUACCUGAUUUCAAUCCUUUGCACAUGUCCACAAAUGCUGCUUGCAGAGGGCUGCUGGGCCGUGAGGAGGUGAUACUCUAACAUUGCAGAAAGCCAAACUGGAGACUCCAGCAGGGGUGAGCUGUGGAAGCAUUGGUGUCAUGGAAGCAGCAUGUGGACUUCUGCUACUGAGAGGUAGUUAUCGCCUGGGCAGCAUCAGUAUUGACUGUUUUCUCAUGGGCAUGAUGUUUGUUUUGCUUGCAGUUAAUUGUUUUGGGGCUUUUUAUUUCAUUCCAACUUUAAGACUUCACAUUAAGUAGCAUCACAUUAGAAGGGGGAGGGGGGAAUUUGAGAAAUGAGUUCUUUAUAAAAAUUGUGCAUUGUAUAAUGGUACAAAUGAAGCAUGUCAGAGAAAUUUUGGACAAGAGUAAGUGCAUCUAACACAAGGUUUAUGCUUUUAUUUAAAACAUUAAACAUUCCCCAAAUAAACAGAAAGACCCUGUUAUUAUUGCAUUUUUGAGACUAAUAGCCGUAGUUCUUUAAGGCCCCUUUAAAAAAAAUAUUCUAAAAGUCCAGGAAAAUGUACAGCCUUGGUCACUUAACAUGUAGUAGCUCCUAAUUUUCUACAGAGGAACAUUGUCUCAUGAUGGCAGUUACUAGUGAUUCCUCCUGGCUUAAUUGUCAAGUCCUGUACCCAGUCCGUGUUUCUUUCUUUGAUCAGCUGUUCAUGGACAGGUUUGUCUCACAGAAAAUGACUGGUAGAUGUCGCCUAAUGAGUAAGCUUGGUAACAAGAGAGAGGUAUUUGUUUGAGGAGCCAACA